ensembl:lncRNA
CUUAACUUCUUCAUGUUCAAUGAGAUAGAAUGUGACACUGUCUCACAAAUUCCAAAAAUUAAACAGAAUAUGAACAAAACUAGAAAUAAAAUAAAGGAGAAAAGGAGGAGGAAUCAGAGGAGAAAAAGGAGGAAGAGGAUAAAAGGAGGACUCCACUAAUCAGAGAAAAUGAAAAGCUCAUAAAAUAGAACCUCAUAGGAAGAAAAGCAGUGUCAACUCACCAGACUCCCCAGAGUUCCCAGAGACUACGCCAAAAAACAAGGAGCCCUCAUGGGCUCAUUUGUGGUCUCAGGUACAUGAGUCUCAGAGAUCGGCCUUGUAUGUAGUCCUUGGGAAAGAAUGUGCUAAAUCCCGUUGAACUUUGAUGCCAAAAGGAAGAGGAUGCUUUCAUCAUAAAUGCCGAUAUGCUAUACACACAAGGAACAACAGAACCCAGGAG